rfam:Cavia porcellus supercont2_14 genomic scaffold, whole genome shotgun sequence.
GGGGAUUUAGCUCAGCGGCAUAAGCGCCUGCCUUGCAAGCAGGCAGUCGUUAGUUCAAUCCCCA